UAAGGGCUGGUUUGGUAUUGCUGUGCUUUGAAAAAAAGCUGCUGUGAGAAUAAGCGGCUGUGCUGUGAGAAUAAGCAGCUGUGAAAUAAAUCAGCAGAGCGUUUGGUAAACUUUUUUGUAAAAGUGCUUUUGGAAAAAAAAGCAGUCUGAUAGUGGGUCUUUUCAUUAAAGGAGCACUGUAGCUCCGUGUGCUUUGAAAAAAAGCCAGUUUUCCAAAGCUGCAAAUAGCAGCUUCAGCUUUUUCCUUUGAUUUCAGCUUAUUCUCACAGCAGCUUCCAAAAUAAGCCAUUUUUUUUCAGUUUACCAAACACCUAAAACCCUCUCAGCUUUUUUUCACAUGUGCUUUUUUUUUUAAGCACCUCACUCCCAAACUAGGUCUAAGUAGGUCCUGCACUUCCAUGUCAUCAGUUAACAAUUCACUAGACAGUUGCGUGUAGCUCAAACGCUUACAAACAUUUAUUUUUCCAUCCGAAGUCCUAGGUUUAAUUUUCUCUCCUCCAUUAUAGCUUGUAUUUUAAUCUUUGUCUGCUAACAAAUUAAACAUAAUAGAAGCUAAAGCAUUUCACAUUUGAUCUCGAUGGAUGUACAAAUUGCAAUGGGAUUGAUUCUCUGCUCUCAUAAUCUCUCUCUCUUUCCUUCCCUUCAUAUUUGAAUGGUUAUGGCUAAGCCACGUCAACAUUUUGUGUUGAUUUUUUAAUAGUCAGAAGCAAUGGUGGAGCCCGGAAUUAUUUGGUGGGUGGGCUAAACUAAAAUUAUUACUACGAAAUCAAAUGGUUAAUUUUUUUUUUGUUACUUACAUAAAGUUACAUAAUAAUAAGCCUAAAAGCAAUAAUUUGAAGUAAGAAAUUUAACUUUGGAUAAAUCAAGUUUCAACUAGAUUUAACAAAGAAAACAUUUAAAGUUGUCACUUAUAAUAGAAAGAAACAUACAUCAUCAAUCUUGUCAUAACAACCUAACAAAUAAUAAAAAAUACCUAUUCAAGUUGUGCCAUUCGAUCCUUAAUGGAAUUGAAAUCCUUUAUUAUUUCAUCUGAAUAAAUAUUUUCGGCAAGCUCUUUUUCACUGUAGAAAACCAUUGAAUCUGCUAAAAAUUCACUCUCCAUCUUGUUGCGAAGUCUUGUUUUAACAAGAUUCAUUGCUGAAAAAGCUCGUUCAGUAAAUGCAAAAGGUAUAUCACUCUCUAAUUUAUCACCAUCAUCUCGUUUUCUAAAGAAUGAAUCAAUAAUUCUUAACCUCUCAUCGAACAGACGUUGUGACACACCCUGAUUGAAAAUCAAGGCGUGAUGGCCGUCACGUGAGGGUGACGUAGCCAUAUGCACAGUGCGGAAGCGAUAAGGAUAAGAAAUAUACAAAUAAAGAAAAACCGAAAGCUAACUAAUGUGCACUAAUAAGUAGAAAGUGCUAGGAAUGAGAUACAAGUGUAAAUACACCUAAUCAGAGCGUAGAAAAUCUAGGUACAGUCCAGUAGGACAAGUACUAGUUAUACAGUACCAUAAGAUAUCCUACGAAUAUUAUAUUUUCUCAGAACCGCCAAGAUCAUCAAAUGCCACCAACAGCAAGUCUACCUAAAAUCUGGAGGGGCGCAAAAUAGAAAUGUAAGUGGGCAAAAACAAAGCUUUUCAAAAUCAUUUCAUUUACCAAAUGCUCUAACCCCUCGCCGUAAAACAUGUAUAAUUUUUCCUAGAAAUAGAAUAUAAAUAUAUACAUCUAUAUAUAUAUAUAUAUAUAUAUAUAUAUAUUCAAAUCAUGCUUCACAUAUUCAUAAUCAUAAAUAUGCCAUGCCAAGGUAUAAACAGAAUAAGUAACUCGGGUGAAAAUAAAUUCAUGGAAAAUAACAUAUUGGCCGGAACCCAUGCAGAAGUUUGUACGGUUGAAUUUGUAGCUCAUUAAUCAAUCUAGCCGGAGUCACUACAAGUGACCUAUACGACACUACACUGCACACGAGUUGGAACCACUGUAAGGGUCUGUACGACAAGACUGGGUGUAAUAUAGUUAUGCUCAAUGCUACGCACUCAUGAUAGCUUUGCGAUAAAUUGCUAGUCACCUACGAGUCGGAACCACCUACGAGUCGGAACCACCUAUGAUGGUUUGUACGACAAGACUGUGCACCUAAAUUGGAUCCAAUGUGAGCAUAUGGUGCAAGAUGUGACAUUAUAUAUAGGCAUGUGUCAUAUCUCUAACUAAAUCACUAACACCAGGGUGCAGGUUCAUGAGCUUAAUGUUUCUCAAUUAAUCACAAUCAUUAUUCACAUUCACAAUUUAUAAACUCACCUGGGACUUACAUGAGCUUUCACAUCACCGCAAUUAUACAUACAUACAUAUAUAUAUAUAUAUGCAAACAACAUAUGCAUAUUCUAAAUGUAAAACAUUUGGCAUGGCAAUUUAAGUCAUAACUUAGUUAAAUGCAUUUUCUAGGAAAAUAUCAAGUAUAUAAGUAUAUACUGAAAACCAAAAGCCAACUCAUUGGUAUGUCGAAGGGUCGUAGCCCCCGAGUCGCCCUUGACUGCGCUCAUUCUCGGGAUAGGUCUCACCUAUAUGCAAAAUAACUAUAAAAACGUUAAUUUAAAACACAUAACCAAUACUAACUAAUAACUUCUCAUACAUUGUUCAAAUGAGGUAUAUAAAUAUACCAUCAUGACCUACACAACUCCACAAACACGCCCAAAAUUUUAAAAUAAUUUUUGGAGCCCUCACACGCCGUCACGCGCCGGCAAGGGCACUGCCCUACGCGCGGCCACGCACAGGGACCCUAACGGAAUCCCCUAACCCCGUUAGGAAUAUUCCGUUAAAAAGUAACAUAAACCGUUAAAACUAACCAACGCCUUUAGGAAUAUUCCGUCAUCCCCUACCUUCAAACUCCGAUUACCGUUGCCGUCGCCGAAAACUGGAAAAUAACUUUAAAACCUUGUAUCCCAAUCAUUUCUUAACCAAAACUCAUGAAAUUGGUCUCAAUUUAAAGCUUAUAACUAGAAGAACACAUCCUUACCAAUUUCAAGGCUUGAAAUCCACGAAAACUCACCAGAGAAAGCUCGAUAAUCUGGCGAAAACUUAAAACUCGUCGAACUCGAUUUCCCGACGUCCAAAUUGCUUGGUUUUUCUUCUCCGAGCUUCGUGAGGAUGAUUCAAAGCUCCCUAUGCCCUUAAAAACUCCUCAAAACCUCACAUUAAUUAGUGCAUGAACAGUACCUUAAUCGGAGUUCGUGAGAAACUAAGGUUUUUGAAGGUUUUAAGUCCAAAUAAAGGUAUAAAUCGACUUCGAGGCUUGUAAAGAGUUUGAAUGUUACCUUUAAAACCUCGAUCUGUGCCUGAAAUGGAAGGUUUAGAGUUCGUCCGUACAAGGUUGACGAGAACGGAAGAAAAUUGAGAGGGAGGAGAGAGAGAUCUAUGUGUUUGUGCGGUGUGUACGUUCAACAUGUGUGUGUGUGGUCUACAUUUCAGCUACACACACACAAUCACCAAACAUUUCCAAAAAUUUUAAUUGGUUCCAAAAGCUUAGGAAACCUAGAUAGGAUAAAAAUUUAAGUACAUACCACAGACAACACAAUUCAAACAAUAAACAAAUUGUUGUGACAUAUGUUCUAAUACAUAUUGUGAUUGUGUAAAUCCUAAGUAGAGAUAGAUUAGGUAGGAAUCCUUUGGGAUCUAGAAGAUCUAUUCUCCACUCUCUUUCUCUCCAUGCCGCACCCCAUAGUUAAACAUAAGCCACAACACAAAUAAACUCAUCAAAAAUUACGAAUAAAGUAGUGAGAAACUUACCUAUUGAUGAGAAAAAUCAAUAAACUUUCACAAUUGUAGGCUCAGUAUUUGUGAAUUGUACACGAAUGUCACCAAAGCUUUCUGAAAAGAGAAAAAACAUGGGCUAUUGUUAUAGCCAAAAGCCAAAAAUACAGCCUUAAGCAACGUGUAAGUACUCAUUAAAAUGAAUAAAAUAAUUAAAGUGAAUAAUUACUCCUAAAAACCUAGAACCGUGUGUGACUACUUCCUAUGAAACCUAAAAUAAUAAAAUACUAAAACCUAGUUUUUCAAGGACAUAGAUCCUUUCCGGAUCUCUUCCAUCAAAACCCAUGAUAAAGUGAUUCGAACUCUUGAAAUUUGAUUUAACGGCUAAAAUUAUUAUAAUUUUUAAAAUAUGCCUCUAUUUUUAGUCGUUUGAUCAAAUUUUAAAUGUCCAUAUCACUUGAUCCGUGGACUUUCGUAGAAGAGAUAUGGAGACAACCUCUUUCCUUUUUUUAAACCAUGUGACUACUCCGUAGGAAAUCUAAAAAUAAUAAAAUAUUAAAACCUAUAGACUACUCCCCAAUAAACCUAGGAGUGUUCAUAAUUUUCACUAAAAUAAACAAUUUAUUUAAUAUUUUUUUAACUCUUUCUUUUUAUAAAAGUAAUCUUAGUGUAAGAACUUUUACUUAUUUUUUUGUUUUUGAGUGUAUCAAUAUUUUUACAUUAAGAGGAUAUAGAGAGUUCGGCUAAAUCACACAAUGGGUAGCCUAAUUUGGUAUCGAAUUCGUCAUCCACGAGAUUCGAACCUAAGACCUCUCACUUUUAAGUGAAGAGGAAUACUACUAGACCAUAGUACUAAAUGACUGAACUUUUACUUAUUGAGUGGGCUAUAAUAAUUAAAAAUAAUAAAGUUGUCUAAAUUAUUAGUAUUUUAAGCCCAAACAACUAAAAUUUUCCCUAUGCUAGAGCCCACCCUAGCCUUGUUACUGCCUUUGUCAUUGGCCAGAAGAAGACAAAAAAACAAUUUGUGAAAGAAGAGAAGGAAGGGAAUGAGAAUAUGAGGGAAAAUAAUCUCACUCCAAUAACAAUAGAUGUAGUUGUGGUAAUGGUAGGAGUUCA
rnacentral:lncRNA from 1 species